UACAGAGGGGGCAAGCGUUGUUCGGAAUUAUUGGGCGUAAAGGGCGCGUAGGCGGCUUUGCAAGUGACGGGUGAAAUCCCUCGGCUUAACCGGGGAACUGCCUGUCAAACUGCAUGGCUUGAGACCGGGAGAGGUGAGUGGAAUUCCCAGUGUAGCGGUGAAAUGCGUAGAUAUUGGGAGGAACACCAGUGGCGAAGGCGGCUCACUGGACCGGUACUGACGCUGAGGCGCGAAAGCGUGGGUAGCAAACAGG
rnacentral:rRNA from 1 species